rnacentral:lncRNA from 12 species
UUGGAAGGUCCUGACCCACCCCCAAAGCGUCCUGGCUGGGGUGGCCGACCCCGGGAGACAGCCCAGGGCCCGGGGCGCCCAGGUACCGGUACAGCCGUCCAGGCCCGGAGGCUGGGGGACGCCAGGGACGCUGGGGGGCGGCCAAGCUGUGCCCCUUCCCUCGGUGGGACUCACUCCCGUCUCGCCUGCAGCUGGUUACUGGAUUCCGUGGUGCCGGGACCCGCCUUUCCCCCCAAAAGCCAGUAAAUGACACCCUGGCGGCUCCUGGAGCGUCCUUGUCUGCAGAGGAGGACGUGUGCGUGGCAGGCGCAGGAGCCGCGGUCAGCAUGGGCUUCGGGGGCCCAGGGAGCCUCGGGCCGGCGGCUGGGAGGCGCGUGUGUCACCGUGGCGUCGACUUCCCGCUGCACCUCGAGGACGCCCCAGGGAUUUGGCGACCUACAAAGGCUGAGGGAUGUGAGCCCCCCAAAGCUGAUCCCGAGGCGCCUCUACCUGCGGGCGUUGAAGCAAAGCGGUGGCUCCUUCCUGGAGGCCUCCUGGGUGCAGGUGCCCUGGCCUCGCAGCAGCCCAGGCGUCCUGGGAUCGGGAGUGCGGGCCCUGCCGUGGAGACCCGGGAGGCUGCAGGUGCCCAGCUGCGUGCCCGGGUCACAGCUGGCGAGGGGCAGGUGGGUCCAGAUCACCCCAGCGUGCAGGUGGCACCCGCUGUGCUCCCCAGGCCCUCUGUCUGCUGUCCCUGUCCCCGCCAUUGCAGCCAUGGCAUGGGACAAACCUGCUCUGCACAGGAGGGACGUCGGGGCAAGUCAGGGCCUUCCUGGAAGUCGUGACCAGGCCACAGGGCUGGGGUGCAGGGGCGGCGGGUUAGGGACCUCCGGCUGCUUAGUGCCCACUGUCGCCCUCAGGGUGGGCUGCCCGGCGGCGGGACCUGCUGCAGAGGGUCAGCCGGGCAGCGGCAGACGGUGGGGUCGGUAGCCAGUCUGCUCCCCGAGCGUCAGUCUGCCAGGAGAAGGGAGGCUGAGGGGACUUGACGCCUGGCAUCCGGGCCGGGGCCUCCCCUGAGGGUCGGGGGUCGGGGUAGGGGGCCGGGUGGCAGCUUGGAGGCCUCCUGCUCUGAGGCUGGGGGGGCCGAUCUAUUGAGACAAGGUUGGCGGGACCGUCAAGGGGUUGGAAGCGGUGCCCUGCCCGGGGCCGUCCCCAUGGGGUGUGGAUGCCUGUGGGUGCACGGGCCCUGACCGGGUGCUCUUGGGGACAAAGCCCGGGUUCCAGGACAGUCUGGGGCUCAUCUCCCUAGGGUGUGGGGGAGCUGGCGCCCGGCCCCGCACACGCACAGCCCGCCGGGGCCCCUCCCACGGACGCCGACGGCCCUCAAGGCCAACAGCCCCCGCGGUGCCAUCAUGCCAGCCGAAGGCCCGAGCGUCCGCCUUCCGCUGCAGUCGCCUCUCCGGGACCCUCGGUCCCAGAGCCUGGCUCGGAGCCGCACACGGAGGGAGCACCCACACCCACCUUCCAGAGACGUCGAGAAGGGCCCAGAGCCGCCCCGGGGCUGGACCUCGGCCGCCUGGACUCGCGCGGGGCCUUCCAGGCCAAGCCACGCACCACGGUUUUCCUUCAGGUGGAGAAAGCGCCGGCGGGUGGCACCUGCGUGGCUUUUGCGGGUUCCCACAGGCUCCGCCGCUGACUGGCUGCGUGACCCUGGGCAAGUCACUUAGCCUCGUCAGCCACAGGGUGGUGAUGCCUAGAACGGCGGCAGCGGGGUGGGUUGUUGGAAGAGUUACACUGACUUAACCAACGUACGACGUCUGUCCCCGGGAAGGGCUUACUGAGCACUGGCUGGCUCCUGCCCCCACUACGAGUCGGAUGACGAAGCAGCCCCCGCGGCUCCCCGGGCCUCCCGCGUCUCGCUGUCCUCGCGGGUCAGCCUGGCGCGACCCCGUCUGUUUAAUAGGGUUGCCACGAGGAUGACGUAGUCCCGACACCUCCCGCGAAGUGCGUCGUAGGUGACUAUUCGUUAUGUGUUGCUUUAGCCUGGAUUAUCUGCCGGGGGGUGACUUGAUUUUCAACCCCAAACGAGCCUCAAGACACAGGUAGCCCCGGGGGGCUCAGCGGUUUAGCACCGCUUUUGGCCCAGGGCAUGACCCCGGGGUCCCGGGAUCGAGUCCCGUGUCGGGCUCCCUGCGUGGAGCCUGCUUCUCCCUCUGCCUGGGUCUCUGCCUCUCUCUCUCUCUGUCUCAUGAAUAAAUAAAUAAAAUCUUUAAAAAAAAAAAAAAAA